AGAGCUGAUGCCAGCGGGAUAUAUCCUCUUCCCACGGGACAGCAGUGCCUUCCACUGCCCAGGGGCAGAAGCAACACAGAGCAGUAAAAGAAGGCACACUGCUCCUCCUUCAUGGAGCGCAUGGCCCACCCGUCCUCAGAGCAAGAGCGCGCCACCUGCUCAGAACAAGAAAGGAGCCCAGACAACUCAGAAGAAUCAAGAACUUCCUCACUUUGGGUGUGUGAUCCACUCUUUUAAAGGUGUUCUUGUUUUUACCUCAAUUAUAAUACUUGCUGUGGGUCCUGAGAGCCAAUGGCCAAUGGGAAAAAAAUAACAUUUCCAUGUUGUUAA
rnacentral:lncRNA from 1 species